rnacentral:lncRNA from 1 species
GCAACUUCCAAAUUGCACACGGAUUUGUUGGACUGAUGGAUCCAACAUCCUUUGCAAUCUACAGUGCCAUUAUAUAUUAAGCAUCGAUAGCAUUCUGUAAACAGAGAAUAUACACGGGCUAAGAUAUUCCUACAAUUACUGGAGGUAGCCCUUCUCUUUGCAGCAUUUGAUUGCUCCAUCGAACAUCUCAUCUAGCCCAUACUUGAAUUCAAAACCAGAGUCCAACAGUUUCUGUGAAGACAAUCCAGGGGUUCUAAUGCCCUUAAUAUCCUUCAGGGAUCUGUCAAGGAAGCAAAAUUAACAUUCUCAUCAUCUUCAUAUGCAGUAUUAAAGGAAGAAAAUGGGCAUAAAAAUAAGCAUUACUCACUCCACUUCUGGUAUUGGGAACUCUGAAUACUUUGCAGAAAGAAAUUUAGACAUCUCUUCAAUGGUGAUGGUGUGUGAAGAACAAAUGAAUCUCCCUUUUGCAUCAGGAUAUUCAAAGAGAAAUAUGUGUGCUCUUGCCACAUCAUCUGUGUGCACCAUUGAUACAUUGAGCAAAGCAGCAUAUUGCUCCCUCUCACCUAAAAGAUGUUAAUUUUAUCAAGUGAAGAAAGUUUCCAUGCAGGGUAUUCUUUAACCAUCCACCAAAUGAAGAUUUUGGAACUUACCCAGUAUCAUAGACAUUGCUGUGUGUACUGAACCAGGGAAUUUAGGACAAAUAAAGGGACCAACUAUAAAAGAAGGAAUUACUGUCACAAGAUCUAACCCAUGUUCUUCUGCGAAUUCAAGAGUUGUCUUCUCUGUUAAUGUCUUCGAAAUCAGGUAAGGACCAAAGGGAGACUUCAAGGACUUGAUGAAAUCCACAUCACUCCAAAAGCUCUCAUCCAUUGUGUCCACAGCCUUGUCGAUAAAUGCAACUGCUGAUGCACUGGAAGUGUACACAACCCUCUUCACUGUCUUGGAGUUCAAACAUGCUUUUAAGAUCCCUAAUGUUCCAUCGAUUGUUCUUCUGACAAUCACAUUCUCAGGUUCUUUGUUUUCGAAAUCUACUGGAGUAGCUACAUGAAAUACACCAAUGCAUCCUUUAAUCGCUGCUUCAAAACUUUCUGGGACACUCAGAUCAGCUUCGAAGAUUUGGAGUUUCUCCGACGCUCCUGGCAGGCUUGUCAAGAAGCUAACAUCCCUCUUGUGUUCUGAUCAUGUUAUCAAAUAUUCAAAAUUUAUAUGUAUAAACCUAUAAAUUAGGACUCGUUUAUUCGAAUGCGAUUUGAGAAGUAUCGAUGAUUCCAUUAAAAAAAAUAAUAAUAAUCUGAAAGAGGAGCCUUACCAGGGUGAGGUCUAAUAGUGGCGUGGACUGAAUAUCGAUGUUCGAGAAGCCUCAUGAUCAACCAUGAAGCAAGGAAUCCAGUACCUCCUGUAACACAUACUUUACCUUUAUCUGCUUCCAUCAAAAGCACUCGAGGAAGAUGAAACACACGGACAACUCGAUAUCUAAUCUUUUUAUAGCAGUAAUAUUUCUCUUUUGUCCAUUUAGUUUUUUAACACACAUUAAUUAAAAUAUUUUUAUUAAUUUUCUAAUUAUAUUUAUUUUAAAAUAUUAAAUUUUAUUAAAUAUUAAAAAAUUUUAAAUUUUUUAAUAUUAAAAUAUAAUUAAUUAAAAUUAUAAGUUAUAGUGUUUGAAAUUUAUUUUUAGUGUAAUAAAAUUUUUGGUAUUAAAAUAUUCACAUCUGUUUUUAAUUUAUAAUUUUAAAUUAGUUUAGUGAUGAAAUAAAAUAUUUUACUUUUAAAUUUAAAAUUAUAAAAUAGAACUUUUGAAAUCUAAAUUUCAAAAUAUAAAACAAAACACGAGAUUUAAGGUAAAUCUUUCAUCUUACUCUCCUUCAACGCACGCCAUAUAUUGCCAUUCAUGAAUUGUCGGUUAAAACAUUCACAUCAUAUUUACAAAAAUAAUUAUAGUUAUAUCUAAAUAAUUUACUUAAUCUUAAUAUUUUUAAAAUUCAAUAAAAAUAUUUUUAAAAUUCAAUAAAUAUAUUUUUAAAAUGAAUAUUAAUUUCAACUUUUUAAUUUUAAUAUUCUGAGAUGUAGAGAAUAGAAUUUUACGGUGUAUAUAAGUUUAGAUUGAAAGAAAAAUGUUUUUCUCUUUUUAUUUUUUUGACGUCUAACAACUUUUCUGCUAUAGGACUGUCUGUCUCUAUCACGUAGGUCCGUACAUCUAAAAGUGUGAGAGCCCUCUCCACGCCAAACGAUCAUUUAAUUUUCCCAACGCAUAUACAGACAGGACUACGAAGUGACUGGAUAAUAAUAAUAAUUUUUCAAAUAUACUACUUGGCAUGAAAAAAAAAAAAACACGCAAUAGCCUGCAUGACAAGUAAGGCAUCAGAUUGCAGCUGGACUUUCGUAAACCCUUCAAAUUUUAACUGUACCAAAGCCUCCCUAAUAGCAACAAUCUCUCCUGCACGGUGGACCAUGCAAGCUUGCCGAAAUUGUAAAUAAGAAAUGAGUGAUAUAUUAAUUAAAUUUAUGAUAAAUUUCAUAUUUAAAUUUAAAUAAAUAAUAUUUUAUUAAUUAAAUAUAUACCAUUAAUAAAUGUAAAUAAGAAAUUUAUAAAAAAAUGAAGAAAGAUUUUUUUAUAUAAAUUAUUUGAUAUUUAAAAUUGACUAGUUAUUAAUUUGAAUUCACAUGGCGUAUAUUUAUUAAAAAAAAUAUACUCUCUUUAAUAUUCAGAAUUCAAAUUUAAAACUUCUGAAUAAAGAAUAAGAGUGUUAUUCCACCAUACUCAGAAUUUAAAUUUCGAAACUUCUGGAUAAAGAAAAAGGCCGCGGUUCCAUCUUAUCCUUUAAAAUUUUCAAAGAUAGAAUUUAAUAAAAAAAUAAACUACACUGACUUAAAAAAUGUCAAAUCCUAGGUUUAUUUUAGUUUAUUUAAGUUAUUAAAUUUAUAAAAAAAAGGGUCAUGUUAAUUGUUAUCCAUUACAAUCGCAAACUUUAUAUAAUAUUUUAUUCAAAUUAUAAUAUAAAUCACUAUAAAAUAUAAAUUAAAAACAGUAAUUAAAUUUAUAUAUAAAUUAAACGUUAAAAUAAAUUAUUUAUCGUUUAAAAUACAUUUCGAAAUUUCAUAAUUAUUUUUUAGCUAUUUAAAGUAUAUUUUUAUAUUAAAUUACAAUAAAAAAUAUAUUUAAGAUUCAAACUACUAUAAUAUAAAUAUUUUUUAUUGAAAUAAUAUCAAUACUUGACAGAAAUAAAUUCAGGCAUAUUUUUUUAUAAUUAUGGUGGGUGAAAAAUAACUACAUACAAACUCGUAUAUCUCCUCAUGUGUUCAGAUUUAUAUAUAUAAUUAAUAAAUAAAUAAUAAAUAAGUCAAAUUCAUUACAUAUUUAAUUAAAUUUUAUUGGGCGACUACGUAUACACUAAAUGCCUAUAAUAAAUUUUUCGUAAGCGUGUUAUCUGCGUUUCCAUCACAUUCCAUGUAACCUUUUUUUUUUAUAAAUAUAUUCUAAUGGUGAUUGAUGCUUAGAUAGUAGCUCCUUGAGAACUUGUUCCAUUUCAGCCCUUAGUAGAAUGACUUCUUGCAAGUUCAGUCUCUCUCUCUUGAAGGAAAUAUAUAUAUAUAGAAGUUGUUUAGUUUAUAACACAUCGAUCAAUUUUUUCAGAAUGUACAAGCUCCGCUGCUGAUGUUUUAUUAGCUCAUGUCUGCCCAUUCUUUUUCAGGGCUUACUUCUGGUUUUUUAUACACUAUUUGAUUAAGCAGGCCCUUGUCUCUGCAGCACUGAAUAGCUCCACCAAACAUAUCUUCAAUACCAAACCCAAACUUGAACCCCAAGUCCAUGAGUUUCAUUGAUGAGAGAUUACAUAGUCUAGACUCUUCAAUCUCCUUCAAUUGACUGCAAAUCCCAAUUAAUCGUUAAAUCUUUUAAAAUUGAAGAGAACGAAAAUAGAGAAUCAACGCAAGACUACUCACUUCAUGGCCGGCAGUUGAAAUUCCUGCAGUUUUGCAGAAAGAAAUUGGACCAGUGCAGGAGUGGUCAUUUGAAGAUAGGAACAAAUGUACCUCCCUUUUGCAUUAGGAUCUUCAAGAAGAAAUAUAUGAGCACUGGCCGCAUCAUCGAUGUGCACCAAGUAGAAAUUAUUAAAAUCCUCAUACUCUAGAUUCCCUAUACAAUAAAACAAACUUGUCACAUAUUUUUAUGCUAAAUUUGGUGCAAUUAAGAAAGAAAUAAGAACUCAUUGAUUUUUUUUUCUUUUUGCUUACCAAAGAUCACAGCGAGAGCCAAGUAGACGGAGCUGGGUAUAUAAGGACAAAUGAAGGGUCCAACAACCAAAGGCAGAACUACAGUAAGAACUUGCAAAGGAAUUCAAGGCUUUAAUGUAAUCAACAUCACUCCAAAAACUUUCAUCCAUUACUUGUGCAGUCUUGUUAUUAAAAUCAACUGCAGAUGCACUAGAAGUAUAUACUACUCGCUUCACUGUCUUUGAGUUCAAACACACUCUUAAGAUUCCUAAUGUUCCAUCAAUUGCCUUACUGAUAACAACUUCCUCAGAUUCUCCGCUGUCGAAAUGAGUAGGCAUUGGGUUAGCAACAUGAAAGACUCCAAUACAUCCUUCAAUAGCAACAUCAAAACUAUCCGGAUCGCUAAGAUCUGCAUGGAAGAUUCGGAGCUUAUUGGUCGCUCCUGGUAGACUUGUUAGGAAGGAUACAUCUCUCUUCUGAUCUGUUCAGACAAAUGAUAAAGAUGACUGAACAUUCCCAUAUCCUAAAUUAUUAGAAAACUCAGGUUCUCAGCGAUAACAUGGAACUACUUCAAUUAAGAUUUUUCGAAGAAAUCAAACAUUAAUACAGGCACUUAUGGGACAUAAGCAAAGAUCAAGAACCCCAUAUGUUGGUGUUCAAGCUAGAAUAGACAAGUGCACUUGGAAAGAUUCCAGUAAGCGUGUAAAAGCCAGUCAUGUCUGUUACCUGGGUGGGAUCUAAUGGUGGUGUGAACAGAGUAACCAUAAUCAAGAAGCCUCAUGAUCAACCAUGAUGCUACAUAUCCAGUGCCACCUGUAACACAUACUGUGCCUUUAUCUCCUUCCAUCUCUCUCCUUUCCCCUGUUUAUCUGUCUUCCUCUUUCUCUGUGUGUGUGUGUGUGUGUGUGUGGAGGAGGAGGAUUUAUAUUAUCAGGAUAAGACAUGGAUUACAUAAUUAUUUUGAGUUUGACAUGGUCAGAACCUAGCAGUCUCACUUGCGGCUUUUCAUGGACAUCAGACAAUUUGGUCGGCCUGUAUGUAUUAUAUAUCCAACCAUCCCUUGACUUGCAUGCUUGUAUCUUGACUCACAUAUUUGUAUUUUGAGUACACGGUGAACUAAAUAUAGACAAAAAUUUGCCCUCCCUUUCAAUGGAAAAUUCACUUUUUGACCCUAAAUAAAAUGAUUUCUGUUUUAACAAUAUUACUUUAAUGAUCUUUCUCACGGAUGGGUAUUGAGGAUAGACUCUUGGAAGUGGAACAACUCAUGCAAAUGUCCUUAUUCUUGGAAUUUCCCCUCUUUGAACAUGUGAUCAAAGCAAUAUAUUAUUGUAAUAGCAACUUCCAAAUUGCACACGGAUUUGUUGGAUUGAUGGAUCCAACGUCCUUUGCAAUCUACAGUGCCAUUAUAUAUUAAGCAUCGAUAGCAUUCUGUAAACAGAGAAUAUACACGAACUAAGAUAUUCCUACAAUUACUGGAGGUAGCCCUUCUCUUUGCAGCAUUUGAUUGCUCCAUCGAACAUCUCAUCUAGCCCAUACUUGAAUUCAAAACCAGAGUCCAACAGUUUCUUUGAAGACAAUCCAGGGGUUCUAAUGCCCUUAAUAUCCUUCAGGGAUCUGUCAAGGAAGCAAAAUUAACAUUCUCAUCAUCUUCAUAUGCAGUAUUAAAGGAAGAAAA